rnacentral:rRNA from 1 species
GUACAGCAUUAAAUGGAUACUUAAGCAUUAAAAUUCUGAUGGACGUUUUAUAACGAAACGUCGUAACGAGUAGAGCAAAGAUACUGAGACUUAUGACUUUCCAUCAAUUCGGAAAAUCGAAUCUUCGUUUAAUAGAAGACUUGUUUAAAGGUUUUUAAACAAAAAAUUUGGUGAAUUGAAUCAUCUAAGUAACCAAAGUUAUAAAAUCAACCGAGAUACUGUUAGUAGUGGCGAACGAAUGCAGGAAAAGACUUAUAAGUUAAAAAUUUUAUUUAAUAUGUAAUAGCCAUAGAAGGUAACCUAACAAUAGGAUAGCCCUGUAAAAUAAAGCUUUUUAAACUUUUGUACAGUAAAAUAGACCACGUCAUGGUCCGUUUGAAUAUUGGGGUCCCAUCCUCAAAGUCUAAAAAUUUUAAUGACUAAUAGUGAAAAGUACCGUGAGGGAAAAGUGAAAAAGAUUUCGUGAAAAUGAAAAGACUUUGAAAUUUAAUGCUAACAAUCUGUCGUAGUUUUAAAAAUGACGGCGUACCUUUUGCAUAAUGGACCAACAAGUUUAUUUUAGUGGCGAGCUUAAAUAUUAAAAUAUGUAGGCGUAAAGAAAUUAAGUUUUAAAAUGCUUUUUAGUCUCUAGAAUAAGACCCGAAACUAAGUGAUCUAAUCAUGAACUGGUUGAAGUUUAGGCGGAAACGCCUUUCGGAGGACCGAACCCGUGUAUGUGGAAAAAUACUGGGAUGAUUUGUGAUUAGGGGUGAAAGGCCAAUCAAACUUAGAGAUAGCUGGUUUUCUGCGAAAUCUAUUUAAGUAGAGCGUUUAAAGAACUUUAUUAAGGGUAGAGCUCUCGAUAAACAAUGGGGGCUUAACGCUUUACUGAGUUUAUUGAAACUUCGAAUAUUAAUUAUAAUGACUUUAAGCAGACAGACUAUGAGUGCUAAGAUUCAUAGUCAAAAGGGAAACAGCCCAGAUUAUUGAUUAAGGCUCUUAAAAGUAAUUAAGUGGAAAAAUUGUGAAAAAAUGUUGACAACCGAAAGGUAGGCUUAGAAGCAGCCAUUCUUUAAAGAAAGCGUAACAGCUCAUUGGUUUAGUUUUUUUGCAUUGAAAAUGUAUAGGAACUAAAAUUACUUGCCGAAAUUGUAAAUUUAAAAGAUAAUGGUAGCAGAACGUUCUGUAAAUUUAAGAAGUUUUAUAGUAAUAUAAAAUGGAAAUAUCAGAAAUGAUAAUGUUGGUAUGAGUAACGACAAACAAUGUGUGAAACAUUGUCGCCUUAAGUUCAAGGUUUCCAAAACAAGGCUAAUCCGUUUUGGUAUUUAAUAUAUUGUUAAUCGGUCUCUAAGGAUAAAAACGAAAGUUUAGUUCUAAUGAGGUAAAAAUUAUUUUUUCUUUUUUAAAAGUGACAAAAUAUGAAUAUUAUUUUUAUUUUAUGGUUUAAAUAAAAGUUUUAUAGUAUUUUCUGGAAAUAGCUUUUAAUAUAAUUAACCGUACCCUAAACCGACACAGGUGAACAAGUUUAGAAAACUAAGGCGCUUGAGAGAAUUAUGUUGAAGGAACUCGGCAAAAUGACUCCGUAACUUCGGAAUAAGGAGUGACUCUGAGAGGGCAACCUCUUAGAGUUGUCACAAAAUCGGGGACAGCGACUGUUUAUUAAAAACACAGGUUUCUGCUAAUUCGUAAGAAGACGUAUUGAAACUGACACCUGCCCAGUGCUGCAAGAUUAAAGGAAAAGGUCCUUUGGCUUUGACCCUAACUCCCAGUAAACGGCGGCUGUAACUCUGACGGUCCUAAGGUAGCGAAAUUCCUUGGCAUUUAAUUGGUGUCCUGCAUGAAUGGUGUAACGACUGUCCCACUGUCUCCAACAUAACCUCAGUGAAAUUGAAUUUUUCGUGAAGAUGCGAAAUUCUCGCGGCUAGACGGAAAGACCCCGUGCACCUUUACUGCAGUUAUACAUUGUAAUGAAAUUUUUUUUAUGUAGCAUAAGUGGGAAGUUGUUAGAAGAUCUCUUUGCGCAAGCAAAUAAGUGAAACAUCCUUGAAAUACCACUUUAAAAAUUUUUUAUUACUUAUUGUUUAAGACAGUGUAUAAUGGGUAGUUUGACUGGGGCGGUCGCCUCCUAAAGAGUAACGGAGGCGUGCAAAGGUAAAUUUGGGUUGAACUAUCACAACUCUAAAGCAUAAUAGUAUAUAUUUGCCUGACUGUAAGAUUGACAAAUCAAGCAGGGACGAAAGUCGGUUAUAGUGAUCCGAUGAUUCUGAGUGGAAAAGGUCAUCGCUCAACGAAUAAAAGGUACGCCGGGGAUAACAGGCUAAUCACCCUCUAGAGACCCUAUCGACGGGGUGGUUUGGCACCUCGAUGUUGGAUUAUCGCAUCCUGGAGCUGUAAGUGGUUCCAAGGGUUUGGCUGUUCGCCAAUGAAGGCGGUACAUGAUCUGAGUUUAGAACGUUGCGAAACAGUUUGGUCCCUAUCUACCGCGAGUGUAAAAAAUUGAGAGGAGUAAACCUUAGUACGAGAGGACCGGGAAAAGUAAAUCCAUGGUGAAUCGAUUGUUAUACCAAUAGCAUAGUCGAGUAGCUACAUUUAUAAUAAAUAAUUACUGAAAGCAUCUAAGUAAGAAA